UACAGAGGUCCCAAGCGUUGUUCGGAUUCACUGGGCGUAAAGGGCGCGUAGGCGGUGUGUCAAGUCAGGCGUGAAAGCCCCGGGCUCAACCUGGGAACAGCGCUUGAGACUGGCACGCUCGAGUUCGGGAGAGGAUGGUGGAAUUCCCAGUGUAGAGGUGAAAUUCGUAGAUAUUGGGAAGAACACCGAUGGCGAAGGCAGCCAUCUGGACCGACACUGACGCUGAGGCGCGAAAGCGUGGGGAGCAAACAGG
rnacentral:rRNA from 1 species